rnacentral:lncRNA from 1 species
GUUCAGGUUGAUCGACGUGUGUGGCAGUCCGACAACACAUGAGGCCCAAGCGCAGAGACACUAGCAGCACGUGAGGGCGAAUGGCACGUUUUCUGACGACGGUCUCUUCAAGCAAUUUGUUUCUAUUAUUAUUUUGACAUUUUGGUGUUGUUAGUUUUCUGUAUCAGGUUGUGCAAUACAAUCUAGACAUAAUUGUUUUUCGGACGUUUGGGAUUCGAUCGUGGUUCGUUGGUUGUUGCAGUUGCUAGAGAUUUCAAGACGAAUAGUGGUUUUCCUAAAGUGAUAAAUUCGCGUCUCUCAUAAUUUAUGAACUCAGAUUGGUUCACUUUGGUAUAUUGGAUUAUCUCUGUUUAAAUUUCAGUAUUAGCGAGUCAUUGUGUGGGGUGACAAUAGACUUGUGGUUAGCGUGAAGGAGUAACAUUUCUUAUAUUAGAAAUUUAGUAAUUAUUUGCCAUAUUUUGAAGUGUUGAGUUUCUUAUUGCAAG